UACCAGAAUUUAUUUUUAUUAAAACCAACACUUUCUUCAAAUAGCUCUUACCAGUCUUAAAAUUGCUUUGCUAGCUAUAACUAGAAACUACACCCUCAGAAGUAAAACACCAAACAUGAGGUUUCUAACAAAAAUUUUUCUUUUUGCUUUCAUCGCUUUAUUGGGAGUUGUGUCUGCUAAACCACCUCCAGAAGAUAUUGCGGCUUAUGAGAGAUUAUGUGUCAAACUCGGCCGUGAAAAGGAUUGCUGGAUUACUGCUACGCCUCCAACAUGGACAACCACCAGCUGAAUGUUUUGAGGAAAAGUUAAAAACCAAAAAAUCGACAUAGUUGAUGGUUUAUAAUACGGAAAAAAUAUAUUCACUACGCACUCGUAAAAACAAAACAAACAAUUUUAUACUAAUUAUCAACUAAAACUCACAACAAUUCAGUAACAAACAGGGCAGAGAGUUCGCUCUCUCACAUUUUCAUUUAAAUAGCAAAAGCUAUCAGCUACUUUAUUGCUCACACGUUAGUUGAAACUAAGCAAGACACUUCAUAAAACAAAACAAAACAUAAUGAAGGAUUUACUGAUUGAGUUUCUCUACGCAUUAUUAGAAUUUCUGCUGAAUAGGUUGGACAUGUAUUAUUUGGAUGGAGAAAUUACACCUGCAGCUCGUAGACAGACUGAUAUUACGGGAAUUUGGCGUUUUGGUCAAUAAAUCAGAAAUAAUUUACUAAAAGCGAUGCUCUUUCAUGUUUUGCUGAUGUUUGGUGAUGUUACAUUCAAAACAUCUUAUUAUUAAAGUAGAAAAUGUUAGUCGCAAACUCACCAAUUGUUAAUGUAGCCUGGGAAAGGCUACUGCAUUUAUAAUUUUUCGCCUCCGUCAUAAAUGAAACUUUUUUCCCCGGUAAAUCUUAUCGCUUACUCUGUGCCACUUGAAGUAAACAGCUUGUAUGCUUGUUACGGAUUGGUCGCGAAUGUUAAGCACUAUCAACAAUAUUUGUUUGCGUUGUAGAAAAUAUCUGCAAAUUACCUUAAGAAACACCAAAGCCUCUUCAGUACGUUCACACAUCGCAUUACCUAAAGACGCAAAUAAUGAAGCUUUCUAUGAAACUGUUUAUUGUUUCACAAGUAGUAAUAACGGGAGUUAUUGCAGUGAAGAAAUAUCCCGAUACGUUUCGUAAUAUCUUCUCAAAGACAAAAACCGUUCCCAAAGAGUCAGACACAACUGUCCCUGCUGCUGAGAGAUAGAUAUAAUAACAACACUAAUACAGGAAUGGAAAUUUGGUUCUUCAAAUUAUUACAACAUGUCUAACUUACUGCCGACUCUGCUGUCUACCAACGAUCCUUACGAUAAAAAUGGUGUAAUUAAAAAGUAAUAGUAUAAUUUCCAUUACAAAAAGUAAAAUCAUUGAAACUUUAACUAAAAACAAAAAUAAACUUUCUCUUGAAUCUUUACUGAGGUCCAAAACCA